rnacentral:rRNA from 1 species
CCUACGGGUGGCUGCAGUGGGGAAUAUUGGACAAUGGGGGGAACCCUGAUCCAGCCAUGCCGCGUGUGUGAAGAAGGCCCUCGGGUUGUAAAGCACUUUCAGUGAGGAAGAACGCCUGGUGGUUAAUACCCAUCAGGAAAGACAUCACUCACAGAAGAAGCACCGGCUAACCUCCGUGCCAGCAGCCGCGGUAAUACGGAGGGUGCGAGCGUUAAUCGGAAUUACUGGGCGUAAAGCGCGCGUAGGUGGCUUGAUAAGCCGGUUGUGAAAGCCCCGGGCUCAACCUGGGAACGGCAUCCGGAACUGUCAAGCUAGAGUGCAGGAGAGGAAGGUAGAAUUCCCGGUGUAGCGGUGAAAUGCGUAGAGAUCGGGAGGAAUACCAGUGGCGAAGGCGGCCUUCUGGACUGACACUGACACUGAGGUGCGAAAGCGUGGGUAGCAAACAGGAUUAGAUACCCCGGUAGUC